rnacentral:rRNA from 1 species
CCUACGGGGGGCUGCAGUAAGGGAUAUUGCGCAAUGGGCGAAAGCCUGACGCAGCAACGCCGCGUGGAGGAUGACGGCCUUCGGGUUGUAAACUCCUUUGGCUUCGGACGAGGAAGGACGGUACGAAACAAACAAGUCACGGCUAACUACGUGCCAGCAGCCGCGGUAAAACGUAGGUGGCAAGCGUUAUCCGGAUUUACUGGGCGUAAAGCGUGUGCAGACGGGUGUUCAAGUGGUGUAUGAAACCGCUCGGCUCAACCGGGCGCGGGUAUGCCAGACUGGAUAUCUGGAGGGUGCGAGAGGGACGUGGAAUUCCGGGUGUAGUGGUGAAAUGCGUAGAGAUCCGGAGGAACCCCUGAGGCGAAGGCGGCGUCCUGGCGCACACCUGACGUUCAGACACGACAGCAUGGGGAGCGAACGGGAUUAGAUACCCGGGUAGUC